GCACCUCAAAUGGAAACGCUAAUAAACUAUUAUCAAGAACAAAAAAAAUUCUCGAAAUCAUAGGACAGCAAAGGCUGCAGAGAAACUUCAUAUAUAUGUACUUUAUUUUUACAAAUGAUUUCAACUCUACUCAAAGAAAUUGUUCUCUAAAUAGUGUUUCAUGCAAUCCCCUCCCCUCACUAUUUUUCCCCUAUUAACAGUUGAAAAGGACUUCAGACUCGCUUACAAUUAAACAGAUAAUCAUCAUUCUUAGGUGUAACCUCAUAUAAACAUGAAACAGGAACAUGCACAAUUCACCUUGUUACUUGCCGUAUCUUCAGCCUGUUGCACCAAGACCAUGCCUUCAGAAGUGACAUGCAGUAAAAUAUGUACUGUUAGCAAAUGCUUAGGUAAAAUUACAAAACUAAAUAAAUACCUCCUUUUGUCAGUUGUUAAUUGGCAUACGAAACUAAAUAAAUACCUCCUUUUGUCAGUUGUUAAUUGGCAUAGAAAAAUACCUGUUUAAACAUAUUUGCAACAGGUUCCAAUCCCUUAGGAAUUCUGUGGAAUAGCCUAUACAUUCGAGAUAAAUCCUCUACCU
rnacentral:lncRNA from 1 species